rnacentral:rRNA from 1 species
GACGGACGCUGGCGGCGUGCUUAACACAUGCAAGUCGAACGGUAAGGCCCUUCGGGGUACACGAGUGGCGAACGGGUGAGUAACACGUGGGUGAUCUGCCCUGCACUUCGGGAUAAGCCUGGGAAACUGGGUCUAAUACCGGAUAGGACCACUGCCUGCAUGGGUGGUGGUGGAAAGCGUUUGCGGUGUGGGAUGGGCCCGCGGCCUAUCAGCUUGUUGGUGGGGUGAUGGCCUACCAAGGCGACGACGGGUAGCCGGCCUGAGAGGGUGACCGGCCACACUGGGACUGAGAUACGGCCCAGACUCCUACGGGAGGCAGCAGUGGGGAAUAUUGCACAAUGGGCGCAAGCCUGAUGCAGCGACGCCGCGUGAGGGAUAACGGCCUUCGGGUUGUAAACCUCUUUCAGCACCGACGAAGCGCAAGUGACGGUAGGUGCAGAAGAAGGACCGGCCAACUACGUGCCAGCCGCCGCCGUAA